AUGGAGAACGGGCACGCGGGCAAGCACCGGGUGGCCGUCAUCGGCAGCGGCAACUGGGGCAGCGUCGCCUCCCGCCUCCUCGCCUCCAACACCGCCAAGCUGCCCUCCUUCCACGAUGAAGUGAGGAUGUGGGUGUUUGAAGAAACAUUGCCAACAGGCGAGAAGCUAUCCGAGUCCAUUAACCAAGCACAUGAGAACUGCAAGUACUUACCUGGUAUUAAGCUUGGAACCAAUGUUAUUGCUGACCCCGACUUAGAGAGUGCAGUCAAAGACGCCGAUAUGCUGGUUUUUGUGACUCCCCAUCAAUUUGUGGAGGGUAUAUGUAAGAAGCUUGUGGGCAAACUAAGACCAGGAGUUGAGGCUAUAUCCCUCAUCAAGGGCAUGGAGGUCAAGAUGGAAGGACCAUGCAUGAUAUCAAAACUAAUUACCAAUACACUUGGAAUCAACUGUUGUGUCCUCAUGGGUGCUAACAUUGCAAAUGAGAUCGCUGUUGAGAAGUUCAGUGAAGCAACAAUUGGAUAUAGGGAAGAUAAAGAAGCAGCAAACCGAUGGGCUAAACUUUUCACCACUCCUUACUUCCUAGUUGCUAUUGUGGAAGAUAUUGAGGGAGUUGAACUAUGUGGGACACUGAAAAAUGUUGUGGCGAUUGCUGCAGGCCUUGUUGAUGGCUUGGAUAUGGGAAACAACACCAAGGCUGCAAUAAUGCGGAUUGGUUUGCGGGAAAUGCGUGCUUUCUCUAAACUUCUGUUCCCUUCAGUCAGAGACAACACUUUCUUUGAGAGCUGUGGUGUGGCUGACCUUAUAACUACAUGCCUUGGUGGGAGAAAUAGGAGAGUGGCAGAAGCCUUUGCAAGAAAUGGCGGCAAAAGGUCUUUUGAUGAGCUAGAGGCAGAAAUGUUGCAUGGGCAAAAACUGCAGGGGGUAUCCACUGCAAGAGAAGUCUAUGAAGUAUUGACUUAUCAUGGAUGGCAGGAACUGUUUCCGCUUUUAUCAACUGUACAUGAGAUCUGUAUCGGACAACUGCCUCCUACAUCAAUAGUUGAAUACAGUGAGCAUACGCCCAACCUUUCCUUCGUCGGUGGUUCUACUCCAUGUUACUGA
rnacentral:rRNA from 1 species